AAGAGCCACGUGCGGGAAACCCGCCCGCGUGGAUCUGUGCGGGGGGCGCUCAGUAAUGGGCGUCCCUACCGCGAU
rnacentral:ncRNA from 1 species